rnacentral:lncRNA from 1 species
GUCAAUGUCUGCUAUACAGCACAGUGACCCAGUCAUACACAUAUAUACAUACAUUUUUUCUCUUAUAUUAUCUUCCAUCAUGGUCCAUCCCAAGAGACUGGAUAGAGUUCCCUGUGCUGUACAGCAGGACCUCACUGCUUAUCCAUUCUCAGUGUCAUAGUUUGCAUCUACUCACCCCAAACUCAAGGGCAAAUUCACCAGAGUGAUUUUGCACACUUUUCAAAUCACUUUUCAUUAUCUAGGACAAUUGUGUCAGGACAGAUGAAAAGCAUUCAACCUCCAUCUUUGAAAACUUAAUUUUAAACAUUCAAUGUCUCUGUUGAAUAGAUCAUUUCUCAGCAGGUGUAGCUUCCUCUGUGGGGAGGGGUGUCUGUCUCUACUGUGAUGUUCACAUCCAUUUAUCUGAUCAUUUAGACCAAUAUCUUCCUGGUUACAAGCUUUGGAAAAAUAAUAGGAAGUGAUGGGGACGUGUGUAAAAAAGGAUCAAUCCAGAGUUUGAUUUCCCUUCACUCCUUUGGAAAAUAAUCAUAAUGUCAUCACUGCUUUACUAAUUCGACUGAUAUUUAUUGGACACUAAGGCCACAUCAAACAAAAAGAUACAGACUAAGCCAAGCAGAAAAACAGUAAUUCUGCUGUUUUUUCUGGAGCAUCCUCCAGCCUACAGGCAAAAAUAAGAUUUCUAUAGCCAUAAUGCCACCACUCAAGGGUUUGAGCAUGACAAGAGAUGUUUGAGUUGGGUUUAUGGUCUAACGUGAUGACCUUUUGUUGUAUUUCUCAUCUGUAGUGGAUUGGCAGCAAGACAGAGCAAAAUUAGGGCAAGGAAGAAACCCAGGCUGCAACACUGAGCUGCACUCUCCCUCAGACUCAUGCAAAUGCAUCAUUUGCACUUGAGACUGUCUUCCUUGAAUACGCCUGGAAGCCUUUCUUCCCCUGUCCUGUCUGGCUGGAACCAGCAGAACUUAUGCAUAAAAAAAUAGGUUUGGUCUACAUGAACCCACUGGUUUGACCACAUAUGCCUAGCACAGUGCUCAGCAUACCUAUAUACUUCUUUUGUUAAGCUAAGCAAUCUUGGUUGGGUCCUUCCUGGCUGGAUACACACCCACCCUCAAUAAAUGUUGCCCAGUUAUUGGUUUAGGGUUUCCCAGUGGUUUCCCACUGGUGCUCAAAAAAAAAAAAGUUAGGACCUAAGACACAAUUUCACUCACUCCAGUUGUCCCAUUAGAAGUCAGAUGGCAAAAUAUUGAGGAAUAAGGAACAUUCUGAUUCAACUGGCUUCAUCAGCCUGGCUCUAAGUCCUAGAUGGAUGUUGCCAGUAGGGUUGCUGGCUUUAGGAAAUCAACACCCAGGACACAGAGUUAAAUGUGAAUCUCAGAUAAAAAACAAAUAUGUGUUCUUUGGUAUAAGCAUGUCCCAUUUAUAGCGCAGGACAAACUUCUUAUAAAUAAACUCUUUGUCUCAAAUAUUGCACUGGAUAUAUUGACAGUAAACUACAAUGCAUAGUUUAUUGUGCAAUAUUUGGUAUAUAUUGAUAUUUAAAGUGUUGUAUAACUAAAAAUCAAAUUUAACUGGUGUCUUGUAUUACUUGGGCAACUCCACUUCCAAAGGUGAAGCCUGACUCUUUAGGGGCAGAAACAAAGAGGCAAAGACAGCUGGGUAUCAAAAAAAUGCAAACAGUCUGUACAGAGUGACCACAGAGACUUGUUCAUCCGGAUUUUAUUCUAAGUAAAUAAUAGAUAUGUGGGGCAGAGGGAAGCAUAAAGAUGCUGCCUCAGCAUUAUUUCAGAGGAGGUCAGAGAAAGUGUACCUUUCUCAUUUGAUAAAACACUAUGCUGCUAUCAAAACUAUUAGGGAACAUAUACCAAUGAAGUUAGAAUACUCCCUCACUCAAAAAUAAACUCAAAAUCUGGCUUAAAGACUUAAAUACAAGACAAUGCACCAUAUAUCCCCAAGAAGAAAUCAUAGGCAAAACACUCUCUGAUCUAAAUCAUAGCAAUAUUCUCUUGGGUCAGUCUCCCAAGUUGAUAGAAAUAUAAGCAAAAGUAAACAAAUGGGCCCUAAAUAAACUCACAAGCUUUUUCACAGCAAAGGAAACCAUGGACAAAAUGAAAAGACAACCUACAGACUGAGAGCAAAUAUUUGCCAACGAUGUGACUGAUUUAAUUUCCAAAAUUUACUAACAGCUCAUAUAACUCAAUAAUACACACACAAAACCCAAACAACCUCAUCAAAAAUUGAGCAAAAUAUCUCAAUAGACAUUUUCCCCAAAGAAGGCAUAUAGAUGGCCAAAGGCACAUGAAAAGAUGCUCAAUAUUGCUAAUUAUUAGAAAAAUGCAAAACCAAACUGCAAGGAGGUAUCAUUUCACAUCCAUCAGAAUGGCUAUUAUCAAAAAUUCUACAAAUACUAAAUGCUGGAGAGGAUGUGGAAAAAAGGGAACCCUCCUACACUGUUGGUGGAAAUGUAAGCUAUUGCAACCACUAUGGAGAUUCCUUAAAAAAAACAAAAAUAAUAGAUGCAAACUAUUAUCUUUGGAAUGGAAAAGCAAUGAGAUCCUUCUGUAUAGCACUAGGAACUGUAUCUAGUCACUUAUAAUGGAGCAUGAAAAUGUGAGAAAAAGAAUGUAUAUUUAUGUGUGUGAUUGGGUCACCUUGCUGUACAGUAGAAAACUGACAGAACACUGUAAACCAGCUAUGAUGGAAAAAAUAAAAAUCAUUAAAAAAACAGAACUACUAUAUGAUCUAGCAAUCCCAGUCUUGGGCAUCUAUCUGGAAAAUAUGAAAAUUCUAAAUCAAAAAGAUCCAUGCAUCCCCAUGUUCACAGCCACACUAUUUGCAACAGCCAAGACAUGGAAACAACCCAAGUGCCCAUCAACAGAGGAAUGGAUUAAAAAAAGAUGUGGUACAUAUAUACAAUGGAAUAUUACUCAGCCAUAAAAAAGAAUAAAAUAAUGCCAUUUGCAGCAAUGUGGAUGGACCUAGAGAUUAUCACCCUAAAUGAAGCAAGUCAGACAAAGACAAAUACCAUAUGACAACACUUACAUGAGGAAUCUAAACAAUAGUACAAAUGAACUUAUUUGCAACACAGAAAUAGACUCAUGGACAUAGAAAACAAACAUAUGGUUACCAGAGAAGAAAGGCGGGAAGAGAUUAAAUUAAGAGUUUGGGAUUAAUAUGUACACACCACUGUAUAUAAAAGAGAUAAUCAAUUAAGGACCUACUGUAGAGCACAGGGAACCCUAGUCAAUAUCCUGUAAUAACCCAUAAGGGAAAAAAGAAUCUUUUGCUGUACACCUGAAGCUAACACAAUCCUGUGAUCAACUAUAACUGAAAAAAAAUGGAGAAAGCCAUAUAAAAAUUUCAUGAAUUAAUACUAAAUUAAAAAUUUGAACACUAUAAUUACAAAUACACUUGCACAUCAGUAAUUGCUAAAGAAAAGACUCAGAAUGACAGGGCAAUUAGAUUGUGUGUGGGAGAUGUUUGAUGUUAAUGUCCACAGCAAAAUUAUUGUAUUAGGGUUGUCCAGAUGAAAAGAACGGAGUGUGUAUGUGUAUAUACAUAUACAGGUAUUAGCAUAUAGAAAUAUAUAUAUGUAUGUGUGUGUAUAUAUGGUGGUGUGUGUGUACAUAGAAGGGGGAGGGUCAGAGAUUCAUUUUAAGGAACUGACUCAUACAAUUACAGAGACUGGCAAGUCCAAAAUCCGGCAAGUAGACCAGCAGGCUGGAAACCUAGGAAAGAGGUGGUGUUGCUGCCCAAAUCCAAAGGACACCUGCUGCAAAAUUCCCUCCUGCUCUGGGGAGGUCAGUCUUGUGUUCUAUUCAGGCCUUCAACUGAUUUGACGAGGCCCACCCACAUCAUGGAGGGCAAUCUGCUUUACUCAGUCAUAAACACCCCACAGAAACAUCCAGAUGAGUCUCUGACUACAAACAAAACUACAUCCUGUGGCCAAGUCGAGUCAACACAUAAAAUUAACACAAAUAUUAUUGCUAAAAUGAAAUACUUGGGGAAAAGGAGGAAUGAAUGUGAGGCCAGGAACUGGAAGCUGCCACAAUACACAUUUCUUUUUUUUUUUUUUUUUUUUUUUUUUUUGCCUUUUAGGGCCACACCUGAGGGAUACGGAAGUUCCCAGGCUAGCGGUCAAAUUGGAGCUGCAGCUGCUGGCCUAUACCACAGCCACAGCAAUGUGGGAUCUGAGCCAUGUCUGCGACCUAUACCACAGCUCACACCAAAUCCUCUAACCCACUAAGUGGGGCCAGAGAUCGAACC